CAUUACCUACGGGGGGCAGCAGUGGGGAAUAUUGGGCAAUGGGCGCAAGCCUGACCCAGCAAUGCCGCGUGAAGGAAGAAGGCCCUCGGGUUGUAAACUUCUUUUAUCAGGGACGAAGGAUGUGACGGUACCUGAUGAAUAAGCUCCGGCUAACUACGUGCCAGCAGCCGCGGUAAUACGUAGGAUGCGAGCGUUAUCCGGAUUUAUUGGGUUUAAAGGGUGCGUAGGCGGUCCGGAAAGUCAGCGGUAAAAGCCCGGGGCUCAACCCCGGCGAGCCGUUGAAACUGUCGGACUAGAGACGGCGC
rnacentral:rRNA from 1 species